ACGUAUGACAAAAUACUAUGGUAAAAUACCAAAACCAAGUAUGGAGACUUCAUCAAACCCGUCAAAUACUAACGAAACUAAUAAAAGAAGUCGAGAAGAAGUUGAAUUAUCUGAAGAGGAAAUAGUCGGUGACCCGGCUUUGCAAAAACCAAUUAAUGAUUAUUCGGUUAAUAUUCGAGAGGAAGUAAGAAGACGGUACAUAACGAAAGGCGCUUGUCAACCAAAAGGUCAAAUCUUCCCUACAACGAAAAUUUGUGGACAUAUGAGAAAGUUUCAUGAAACGUGGUUUGGCGACUUUGAUUGGUUAGAAUAUAGUGCAUCAAAAGAUGCUGCAUUUUGUUUAUGGUGUUAUUUAUUCCCCACGGGAAAUAAACAUGGGGAUGAUGUCUUUAUAAACCAUGGUUUUAGAAACUGGAAAAAGGCAUGUGAAAGUUUUCGUGACCAUGAAGGGGGUUCGAACAGUAGACAUAAUCAUGCUAGAGUUCAGUUCGAGUUAUUCAAAGAUCAAAGUCAUAAUGUAAACAAUAUGUGGUCACAACACACUAAGCAAGAUGAGAUUGAUUAUCGUAUUCGGUUAACCGCUGUUGUUGAUGUUAUUCGAUUCCUUUUAAAACAAGGUUUGGCAUUUCGCGGGCAUGACGAGUCUACCACUUCUAAUAAUCGAGGUAAUUUUCUUGAACUUGUAAAAUGGCAUUGUGAGCAUAAUGAUGAAGUAAAUAAGGUGUUGAAUUUAAAAGUUCCUGGAAAUCAUCAGUUGACUUCACCUAAAAUUCAAAAGGAAAUAGUUAAUGCAUGUGCUACGGAGGUAAGAAACAUUAUUGUGAAUGAGGUUAAAGGGAAGUUCUUUUCUAUUUUGAUUGAUGAGUCUCGUGAUUGUUCUAUAAAGGAGCAAAUGGCAAUGGUUUUGAGAUAUGUGGAUGAUGGUGGAGAAGUGAUUGAACGAUUUGUUGGGGUAGUGCAUGUUACCGACACUUGUGCAUCAUCUUUAAAAAGUGCUAUUGACAACUUCUUUGCAAAACAUGGUUUAACUAUGUCUAGAGUUAGAGGUCAAGGUUAUGAUGGAGCUUCAAAUAUGCGUGGCGAGCUAAAUGGGUUAAAAUAAAAAAUUUUAGAUGAAAAUAAGUAUGCGUUUUAUAUUCAUUGUUUUGCUCAUCAGUUGCAGUUAGUAGUGGUAGCUACAUCAUCCGAAGAUGCAUCUGUAAGUUGUUUUUUGAUUACCUUGGGAUAAUUGUAAAUAUUGUUGGAUCUUCAUGUAAAAGGAAAGAUUCGAUUAGGCAAAAACAAUAUGACGAUUUUGUUAAACGUAUCGAGAUGGGUGAAGUUUGUACAGGAAAAGGAAAAAACCAAGAAAUGAGUUUAGUCCGAGCUGGUGACACUCGUUGGGGUUCGCAUCUUAAAACUAUACAUCGGCUUUUAGACUUGUGGAAACCAGUGAAAGAAGUACUUAUUGCUUUGUCUAGAGAGGGUCCAGAUAGAAAAACUAAGGGAACUGCGCUUAGUAUGGCUGAGAAAAUGGAAAACUUUGAAUUUGUUUUUAUUGCUCAUUUAAUGUUGAAUUUAUUAAGAAAGACAAAUGACUUGUCACAAGCCCUACAGCUAAAGAAUCAAAAUAUUUGUAGCGCUGUUCGAUUGAUUGAAGAUACGAAAUAUGAUAUAAAGAAAUAUAGGGACGAUGGAUGGGAGGAGUUAAUAAAAGAAGUCUCUAUAUUCUGUGCUCAAAAUGAAAUUCAUAUGCCUAAUAUGGAAGACAUCAUUCCAGGACGAGUUAGAAGGACAAUUGAUGAUGAACCACAAACAUAUCUCCACCGUUUUCGUGUUGAUAUUUUUUAUCAGGUUGUUGAUCUUCUUCUUAAUGAAAUGAAUGAGCGUUUUACUAAGUCUAACUCGGAGUUGCUUACGUGUAUUGCGUGCCUUGAUCCUAGAGAUUCAUUUCAAUCUUUUGACCGUGAGAAGUUAUUACGGCUUGCCGAGUUAUAUUCAGAAGAUUUUACUCAAUUUGAUCUUGGUCAACUAAAGAUACAACUAGAUCGGUAUAUUUCAAAUAUAAGAAGUAAUGAAGCGUUUUCUGGUCUUCAAGAUAUUGGACAACUUGCAAAGAAAAUGGUCCACAUGAAGUAUCAUAUUACUUAUGCACUCGUCUAUCGACUACUUGAGUUGGCAUUGGUCUUGCCUGUUGCAACCGCUACUGUCGAAAGAUCUUUUUCCGCAAUGAAGUUUAUCAAGACGGAUUUACGCAAUAAGAUGGGUGAUAUGUUUCUCACAGAUGCAUUGGUGUGCUAUGUCGAGAAAGAUAUUUUUGAUAGUGUUGAAAUUGAAGCAAUUUUGCAAAGGUUUCAAAAUAUGGGACCCCGUAGAUUACAAUUACCAGCUGUUAAAAAAAAUAAUUGGUGUAUGCUAUGAAUUAUGAAUAAAGUUAUUUUUUUCUAUUACGACCCCCCGGUUAAGAAUUUCUAGUUCCGCCACUGACAGGAAUGGUCGUUUGACUAGGCAUACAUGGUUAGAGGACUCGUGCUCGACAAAAUAAGAGGAAAUAUACUGAAGGU